CACACUGUGCCUCACGAAGAGUAGACAUGCGGUGGAGAACCAAGUAAAAUGGAGAGUGAGCAGAGUUCCGGAUCUGAUGACGAAUCUAAAUGUGAAGGGAGAGCUGCGGCUCAUGAAGUGCAGCGUGCCUACUUGGAUGAGUCUGUGUCUCCCAGGUCAGAUACUGAAGUUUCUCCAAGCAAAAUAUUGAACCCCGGAUGGCCUCCCAACCUACUCCUCACUUGAAGACAGUCAUCACAUUCAGCGUUUGAAGAAACUGACAGCUCAUCAUGGCAAAUGUGAGCGCAGUUUUGAGAAGGCUUAUGCAAUGCAGACAAAGGAGGAGCAGGACAGAACAUUAAUGUUGCAUCAUCAACUGAACAUGAAGGGUCAUCAUCUGAAAGUGAAGAUACCAUCACCCUUAAUGAAACUCCACCUGAUGUGAUCCAAGAUGACAGCGUUCCUAUGCUCACAAGAACCCAAAGUGUAAUUGUAAGUUUGUCUUCAAAUGUUAAUGUAUAAUCUCAAUUAGGGUUGUCACGGUGUGAAAAUUGAACCUCACGGUUAUUGUGACCAAAAUUAUCACGGUUUUCGGUAUUAUCGCAGUAUUUUUUUUAAACAUGUUACAUUUUCAGACAACUAAAUAAACCCUGUAUAUCAGGAAAAUAUUGUCCUCAGUUUGUGUCUAUAUGUUGCCUAAAAUUUGUUAUUUUGUAAUUAUGUUGUUUAUUUGUUUACAUUUUUCCCCUUUAGUCUUUAAAAUACCAAUAGUUGCCCAUAACUUUUUAUUUUUUGUCUGUUGGAUGUCAUCAUUUUAAAAAUAUUAGAUCAGAUGAUACUCAGUACUCAAGUAGCCUUCUAAUCAGAUUCUCCAAUAGCAUAUUUACCUUUAUCUAAUGUAUUAAUUAUUCCAUCGGUUGCUUCCAUUAUUGCAAGUGCUGUUGUCCUCUUUUCUCUGAAUCCGUACUGACUAUGGUCUAGUAUUUCGUGUUUAUUUAAAACGUUUUCUAGUCUGAUAUUAAAUAGUUUUUCCAGGAUUUUUGAAAAUUGAGGAAGAAGUGAUACUGGCCUGUAGUUGUUAAAUAGAUGUUUAUUCCCAUGCUUAAAAAUUUGUAUUACUUUAGCUUCUUUCAU